GCCGGUGUAGCUCAGCUGGUAGAGCAUCUCAUUCGUAAUGAGGGGGUCGUAGGUUCAAGUCCUAUCACCGGCACCA
rnacentral:tRNA from 4 species